AUCGUAAAACUCUGUUGUUAGGGAAGAACAAGUACCGUUCGAAUAGGGCGGUACCUUGACGGUACCUAACCAGAAAGCCACGGCUAACUACGUGCCAGCAGCCGCGGUAAUACGUAGGUGGCAAGCGUUGUCCGGAAUUAUUGGGCGUAAAGCGCGCGCAGGCGGUUUCUUAAGUCUGAUGUGAAAGCCCCCGGCUCAACCGGGGAGGGUCAUUGGAAACUGGGGAACUUGAGUGCAGAAGAGGAGAGUGGAAUUCCACGUGUAGCGGUGAAAUGCGUAGAGAUGUGGAGGAACACCAGUGGCGAAGGCGACUCUCUGGUCUGUAACUGACGCUGAGGCGCGAAAGCGUGGGGAGCGAACAGGAUUAGAUACCCUGGUAGUCCACGCCGUAAACGAUGAGUGCUAAGUGUUAGAGGGUUUCCGCCCUUUAGUGCUGCAGCAAACGCAUUAAGCACUCCGCCUGGGGAGUACGGUCGCAAGACUGAAACUCAAAGGAAUUGACGGGGGCCCGCACAAGCGGUGGAGCAUGUGGUUUAAUUCGAAGCAACGCGAAGAACCUUACCAGGUCUUGACAUCCUCUGACAACCCUAGAGAUAGGGCUUCCCCUUCGGGGGCAGAGUGACA
rnacentral:rRNA from 1 species